UACGAAGGGGGCUAGCGUUGUUCGGAAUUACUGGGCGUAAAGCGCUCGCAGGCGGAUCGAUAAGUCAGGGGUGAAAUCCCGGGGCUCAACCUCGGAAUUGCCUUUGAUACUGUCAAUCUCGAGUCCGGGAGAGGUGAGUGGAAUUCCUAGUGUAGAGGUGAAAUUCGUAGAUAUUAGGAAGAACACCAGUGGCGCAAGCGGCGCUCUGGGUCGAGCCUGACACUGAGACGUGAAGGCAUGGGGAGCGAACGGG
rnacentral:rRNA from 1 species